rnacentral:other from 2 species
AUAAUCCUGAGAUGUUCGAAAUGAUCCCUAUUAUUUUGAACCUACAUCAUAAAGACGGGAGUUCGGGUUUUAAAAUCAAUGUCAAGCCAUCUCGAAUGGAAGACAGAAAUUUUAAAUAGAACACCCACCUAGUUAAGGACUAGGUCAUCAAAAUUAUAGGGGACGGCAUUUUGGGCAAGCA